rnacentral:tRNA from 1 species
GCUGAGGUAGUGUAGCGGUCAGCACGUGGGAUUUUGACAAGAGCUGUCUGGCUAUCAUGUCAGAUGGUUUCAAUUCAACAUUCCUGAGUCCCCGGUUCGAACCCGGGCCACAGCU